rnacentral:rRNA from 1 species
GUUGGCGAUAUACUGUCAGCGGCCAAGCGAAAGUAUUAAGUGAUGCACCUGGGGAGUACGCCGGCAACGGUGAAACUCAAAGGAAUUGACGGGGGCCCGCACAAGCGGUGGAGCAUGUGGUUUAAUUCGAUGAUACGCGAGGAACCUUACCAGGGCUUAAAUGUAGUAUGACCGGCUUAGAAAUAGGCCUUCUCUUCGGAGCAGAUUACAAGGUGCUGCAUGGUUGUCGUCAGCUCGUGCCGUGAGGUGUUAGGUUAAGUCCUGCAACGAGCGCAACCCCUAUUCUUAGUUGCCAGCGGUUCGGCCGGGGACUCUAAGAAGACUGCCAGCGCAAGCUGAGAGGAAGGUGGGGAUGACGUCAAAUCAUCACGGCCCUUACGUCCUGGGCUACACACGUGCUACAAUGGUAGAGACAGAGGGCAGCCACCUGGUGACAGGGAGCGAAUCCUUAAACUCUAUCUCAGUUCGGAUCGAAGUCUGCAACUCGACUUCGUGAAGCUGGAAUCGCUAGUAAUCGCGCAUCAGCCAUGGCGCGGUGAAUACGUUCCCGGGCCUUGUACACACCGCCCGUCAAGCCAUGGAAGCUGGGGGCACCUGAAGUCGGUAACCGUAAGGAGCCACCUAGGGUGAAACUGGUAACUAGGGCU